GAUGAACGCUAGCUACAGGCUUAACACAUGCAAGUCGAGGGGCAGCAUAGAUCUAGCAAUAGAUUUGAUGGCGACCGGCGCACGGGUGAGUAACACGUAUCCAACCUACCGUUCACUCGGGGAUAGCCUUUCGAAAGAAAGAUUAAUACCCGAUGGUAUGAAAAUUCCGCAUGGUUUUUUCAUUAAAGAAUUUCGGUGUUCGAUGGGGAUGCGUUCCAUUAGCUUGUUGGUGAGGUAACGGCUCACCAAGGCAUCGAUGGAUAGGGGUUCUGAGAGGAAGGUCCCCCACACUGGUACUGAGACACGGACCAGACUCCUACGGGAGGCAGCAGUGAGGAAUAUUGGUCAAUGGGCGUGAGCCUGAACCAGCCAAGUAGCGUGAAGGAUGACUGCCCUAUGGGUUGUAAACUUCUUUUAUAAGGGAAUAAAGUGAGCCACGUGUGGCUUUUUGUAUGUACCUUACGAAUAAGGAUCGGCUAACUCCGUGCCAGCAGCCGCCGUAAAAC
rnacentral:rRNA from 1 species